GACGAACGCUGGCGGCGUGCUUAACACAUGCAAGUCGAACGGAAAGGCCCUGCUUUUGUUGGUUUCUCGUUUGGCGAACGGGUGUGUAACACGUGUGUAUCCUCCCCUUGUCUUUCUGAUAUCUUCUGGAAACUCCGGCUAUUACCCCAUAUGAUCUCCUGCUCCUUGUUGUUGGUUGGUAAGUUUCGGCGGUUGUGGAUGGACUCGCGGCUUAUCAGCUUGUUUGUGUUGUAGUGGCUUACCAAGGCUUUGACGGGUAGCCGGCCUGAGAGGGUGAACGGGGACAUGGGGACUGAGAGAGGGAGCAGAAGGGAAGGGGAGGCAGGAGUGGGGAAUAGUGCAGAAUGGGGGGAAGCGAGAUACAGAAAGGGGGGGAGCGGGAUGAAGGGCUACGGGUUGUAAACAGAUUUGGAAUGAGAAGAAGAGUGAGUGACGGUAAUGGGUAAAGAAGCAACGGCUAACUACGUG
rnacentral:rRNA from 1 species